rfam:Gossypium hirsutum cultivar TM-1 unplaced genomic scaffold scaffold4746.1, whole genome shotgun sequence
UGUUAAAUUUUUCAUUUAAUUGUAUAAUUAAUAAUUGGCGUGGCUAACAGAAUAACUAGACGGUGGCAUGUGGCAUAUCAUGUGUACUUCAUGUUGACAUAAGUGGAUCAAUUUUCAACCGUAGAAAUGAAUGAAAUUUUAACA